UUUAACAUUCAGCUUUCGUAUAGACAACGCCUCUUUCUCAGUACGUUUUCUAAGCUGCUCUUUAAUGACAAUUUUCUUCACUUUAAAAUUUGUUUUAGUAACAUUUGUUCCUUUAGGAAGAUCCUUUUUGGCUUUCAGUUUAGUCUUUGCCUUUUCAGACUUAAGAAAUUUUUGGUAACGAGUUGCACCCGUUUGUGGCAUGGUUUUCUUAAUUAAAAGGUUAAUAUAAUAAAAAUAACAAACAAGUUAACCGUAAGUGGUAUUGAUUAGGCAGCAGUUUAAACUUCACUGAUCCCACUCAGCUAGUCUUACUCAAAGUUGCACACCGUUCAAUGGUUUUAUCGAAAUAUAAUAUUGAAACUUAACAAAAAUUAAGUAAACAAUAACGUUGAACACGACGGAUCGUAAACAACAUAACCUAAAAGAUUUUUUUUAUCGGCCAUUGCAAAAUUGCAAGGCAUUAGGAACAUACUUCAUAACAAUUUUUCUAAAACCCAGAAAAUGAAGUGAAAUAUCUGAGUAACAACCAAUAGAUUUUGUAUGAGAUUAAAUCAAAUGAAAUAAACUCAUAGUUAAAUGGUGAGAAUUUCAUGAGUUCAAUAGACUUAGAAAACAUGCAGAUUUUGAUUCAAGUUCCUAAACUUGUCCACAGUCACGGAUACUAAAGCGAUUUGAAUUCCGUACUAGAGAUCAAGGCAUGGACUUCCUUGGAAUUGAUUUUUUUACUUUUAUCUAAUAUAUAAAAUUCUCGUGUCACGGUGUGCGUGAUUGAACUCCUCCGAAACGGCUCGACCGAUUUUCGUGAUCUUAGCGUGCAUAUCGGCCAGGGUGGAGAAUCGGACAACAUCUAUUUUUCAUCCCCCUAAAUGUUAAGGGUGGUCCACCCUUAAAUUUAAUUUUUUAUUUUUUAGCCAAAAUGCUUUGUUUUUAUUUUUUUAUGAUACAGCAUACAAAAAUACAUAUAACCCUAAAUUUUCACCCUUCUACGAUCAACCCCUAUUUUUUAUUUGUUAAUUAUAAACUUUAAUUUUUUUGGCAAUUUUUUUAUUAUUAAAAAAUUUCAUAUUA